rnacentral:pre_miRNA from 1 species
UGAGAUUAGCUAUAGAUGAAUUGGAGCUAGUAGUUGGCUAUACUAUUAACCUUGCUCUAAGAGCAAAUUUAAUAGUAUAGCCAACUGCCGGCACCAAAUCAUCUAUAGCUA